rnacentral:rRNA from 1 species
GACGAACGCUGGCGGCGUGCCUAAUACAUGCAAGUAGAACGCACAGUUUAUACCGUAGCUUGCUACACCAUAAACUGUGAGUUGCGAACGGGUGAGUAACGCGUAGGUAACCUGCCUGGUAGCGGGGGAUAACUAUUGGAAACGAUAGCUAAUACCGCAUAAUAUUAAUUAUUGCAUGAUAAUUGAUUGAAAGAUGCAAUUGCAUCACUACCAGAUGGACCUGCGUUGUAUUAGCUAGUAGGUGAGGUAACGGCUCACCUAGGCGACGAUACAUAGCCGACCUGAGAGGGUGAUCGGCCACACUGGGACUGAGACACGGCCCAGACUCCUACGGGAGGCAGCAGUAGGGAAUCUUCGGCAAUGGACGAAAGUCUGACCGAGCAACGCCGCGGGAGUGAAGAAGGUUUUCGGAUCGUAAAGCUCUGUUGUAAGAGAAGAACGGGUGUGAGAGUGGAAAGUUCACACUGUGACGGUAACUUACCAGAAAGGGACGGCUAACUACGUG